AUUGAACGCUGGCGGCAUGCCUUACACAUGCAAGUCGAACGGCAGCACGGACUUCGGUCUGGUGGCGAGUGGCGAACGGGUGAGUAAUGUAUCGGAACGUGCCCAGUCGUGGGGGAUAACGUAGUGAAAAUUACGCUAAUACCGCAUACGAUCUAUGGAUGAAAGCGGGGGAUCGCAAGACCUCGCGCGAUUGGAGCGGCCGAUAUCAGAUUAGGUAGUUGGUGGGGUAAAGGCCCACCAAGCCAACGAUCUGUAGCUGGUCUGAGAGGACGACCAGCCACACUGGAACUGAGACACGGUCCAGACUCCUACGGAGGCAGCAGUGGGGAAUUUUGGACAAUGGGCGCAAGCCUGAUCCAGCCAUGCCGCGUGUGGGAAGAAGGCCUUCGGGUUGUAACCGACUUUUAGUCUAGGGAAGAAACGGUAC
rnacentral:rRNA from 1 species